rnacentral:lncRNA from 1 species
UAUAAAAUAAAUAAAAGCCACAAAGCCACGUUUAUUGACUCGCCAGGCGAGGAAACACGCACAAGUGAAGAAAUUCACUGAAUAGUCAGCCGAGGAGGGAGAGUCGGGGAUGUUUAAUCUUGGAGAGGGGCUCACAAUGAUUAAGGCUCGAAAACCAGCACUCCAGAAAUUAAUCUAAAGGUCUGUACCUGGUUGGUUCAAACAAAUCCAUCGUUCAUUGUUGAGGAAAGAGUCUUUAGUUGAGUCCAGUGGGGGUUUGGCGUUUGGGUCCACUUCAGCUGCUUAGAAUCAGUUAUGAUGAAACACAAUAUUUAAUUGUGAUAUCUCCUAGGGCAUGUGUUGCUAUAAGUGGAAAUUUUUCCUGUUUCAAUUCCCGCCUGCUCCUCCUCAAUGGAAGCUCCGUAUAUGACACGUAUGAGCAUAAGAAUGGUGUCAAACCUGCCCAGGAUACCAGAAAUUUCUGUGAAUUUGGAUGAUGAGGAUUAACCAGAGUGUUUCUCUUCACCCCACAACACCUGCUCCUGAAAAGGAAGCAUUUGUUCCUUGCAUGCAAAUCAUUUUGUAUUAAAGAGGCAUCUAAUGAGCAUCGGAUGAAAGUCCCCUGGAGCAGAAUGAACUUCUAGAAGCUUCAUUUUGAUUCCUCGAGCAGAUGAAAAAACACAAACAUGGUUGGAAUUAUAUGACUUCUCUUUGAAGGCUCUGAAGACUUUGAUGUGAAUCUAUCUUCAUUUAACUGUUUACAAAGUUCUUCUGAUAAUGGCAUGAAAAUAUUAAUAGCUAUCAUUUCACUUUUCAUAAAUAAAUAAGAAAAUUUGGGAUUGAAAAUGAGCAAAAUUAACUUGGAAUAAUAGUUAUUUGAUCUAAACGAAAAGUCAUGACAGAGUGAGGACCUUCAGCAACUGCAGGUCUUAAAUCCUCGUCCUCGGGCGCGGUCUUCUUAAAAUAACUAUUAAUUUUGAAGUAGAUGCUGAUGCUUCUUCAUGAGAUUUGUAUCUUCUGGUUUUCGUGUAGUCGGUAAUAUUGCUAUGAACCCCAUAGUAAGUGGUAAAUAUUGACAAACUUUUUGGGGCAACUUAAGCAUUCAUAAUCAACUUUCUUAAGAAGUAGAACUUUAUUACA